UACGAAGGGGGCUAGCGUUGCUCGGAAUUACUGGGCGUAAAGGGCGCGUAGGCGGCCUACUAAGUCAGACGUGAAAUCCCCGGGCUUAACCUGGGAACUGCAUUUGUGACUGGCGGGCUAGAGUAUGGCAGAGGGGGGUAGAAUUCCACGUGUAGCAGUGAAAUGCGUAGAUAUUGGGAGGAACACCAGUGGCGAAGGCGGCUCACUGGCCCGAUACUGACGCUGAGGCACGAAAGCGUGGGGAGCAAACGGG
rnacentral:rRNA from 1 species